GCAGAGUUCAGGUCGUUGUGGGUGCUAUUGUUUUCAGUGGGGUUAGCCAUUGUGGAUCUCAGUGGGUUUUGCAAGAAUGGAAACUCCGGUGAUGAAAAGAUCAACCUCGUUUCCCACAGACGGCGCCAAUUGAUGAUCUGAGAUCCAGAGAAAUAGGGUUUUUACAAUGGGCUCUGUAAAACUUUAGAAAAAACUUAAACCU
rnacentral:lncRNA from 1 species